rnacentral:rRNA from 1 species
CCUGAUGCAGCCAUGCCGCGUGUAUGAAGAAGGCCUUCGGGUUGUAAAGUACUUUCAGUCAGUGUAGGAAGGUUCAUGCGUUAAUAGCGUAUGGAUUUGACGUUUAGCUGCAGAAGAAGCACCGGCUAACUCCGUGCCAGCAGCCGCGGUAAUACGGAGGGUGCGAGCGUUAAUCGGAAUUACUGGGCGUAAAGCGCAUGCAGGUGGUUUGUUAAGUCAGAUGUGAAAGCCCGGGGCUUAACCUCGGAAUUGCAUUUGAAACUGGCAGGCUAGAGUCUUGUAGAGGGGGUAGAAUUUCAGGUGUAGCGGUGAAAUGCGUAGAGAUCUGAAGGAAUACCGGUGGCGAAGGCGGCCCCCUGGACAGAUACUGACACUCAGAUGCGAAAGCGUGGGGAGCAAACAGGAUUAGAUACCCCUGGUAG